ACGGAAGUAGCUCAAUAAAUAGAUCUUCAGUCUUCCAAGCUGAGGGUCGCGGGUUUAAAUCCCGCCUUCCGCUCUA
rnacentral:tRNA from 1 species